CUUGUUUAGAGCACAGCAGAAAGAAUCAGAACUUUGCAUCAUGAAAUCCUUGACAUUCAUACUUUUUUAAAAAGAAAAAAGAAUUUGGAUUGAUUUUGGAGAUUUUUAGGGUUUGCUUAGUGAACAGCAAUGAGCUUCACUCAAGCUUCGAACACUGACCCUUCUACUCAGGGUGCUGCUUUGAAGAUACACCCUGAGAGCUGACUUGACUGUAUCCCACUGUGUACCCUGUAAACAUGUCGUCAAGUAAUCCAUUCACCAUUCUUCACAGGAGCUUUUCCAGCCACAAACCACGAGAAAAAACUCAGCAGUCACCUCUCAGACUUCGGGACAUAAAGGAAAAAGUGAAGUUCACUGUAUGGAGGCAAUGAAACUGUCAUACCCAACUCCACAAGGAACUAAAAUAUUAUCCAGAUCCGACAAGAAAAAAUACCUGUG
rnacentral:lncRNA from 1 species